rnacentral:rRNA from 1 species
UACGUAGGUGGCAAGCGUUGUCCGGAUUUAUUGGGUUUAAAGGGUGCGUAGGCGGCCUUGUAAGUCAGUGGUGAAAUACUCCAGCUCAACUGGAGGGGUGCCAAUGAUACUGCAGGGCUUGAGUACAGAUGAGGUAGGCGGAAUGACGGUGUAGCGGUGAAAUGCAUAGAUAUCGUCAAGAACACCGAUAGCGAAGGCAGCUUACUGGGCUGUAACUGACGCUGAGGCACGAAAGUGUGGGGAUCAAACAGG